UUAAGUUAUUAAGGGCGCACGGUGGAUGCCUUGGCACUAGAAGCCGAUGAAGGACGUUACUAACGACGAUAUGCUUUGGGGAGCUGUAAGUAAGCUUUGAUCCAGAGAUUUCCGAAUGGGGAAACCCAGCAUGAGUUAUGUCAUGUUAUCGAUAUGUGAAUACAUAGCAUAUCAGAAGGCACACCCGGAGAACUGAAACAUCUUAGUACCCGGAGGAAGAGAAAGAAAAUUCGAUUCCCUUAGUAGCGGCGAGCGAAACGGGAAGAGCCCAAACCAAGAAGCUUGCUUGUUGGGGUUGUAGGACACUCUUUACGGAGUUACAAAGGACGACAUUAGACGAAUCAUCUGGAAAGAUGAAUCAAAGAAGGUAAUAAUCCUGUAGUCGAAAAUGUUGUCUCUCUUGAGUGGAUCCUGAGUACGACGGAGCACGUGAAAUUCCGUCGGAAUCUGGGAGGACCAUCUCCUAAGGCUAAAUACUCUCUAGUGACCGAUAGUGAACCAGUACCGUGAGGGAAAGGUGAAAAGCACCCCGGACGGGGAGUGAAAUAGAACCUGAAACCGUGUGCUUACAAGUAGUCAGAGCCCGUUAAUGGGUGAUGGCGUGCCUUUUGUAGAAUGAACCGGCGAGUUACGAUUUGAUGCAAGGUUAAGCAGUAAAUGUGGAGCCGUAGCGAAAGCGAGUCUGAAUAGGGCGUUUAGUAUUUGGUCGUAGACCCGAAACCAGGUGAUCUACCCUUGGUCAGGUUGAAGUUCAGGUAACACUGAAUGGAGGACCGAACCGACUUACGUUGAAAAGUGAGCGGAUGAACUGAGGGUAGCGGAGAAAUUCCAAUCGAACCUGGAGAUAGCUGGUUCUCUCCGAAAUAGCUUUAGGGCUAGCCUCAAGUGAUGAUUAUUGGAGGUAGAGCACUGUUUGGACGAGGGGCCCCUCUCGGGUUACCGAAUUCAGACAAACUCCGAAUGCCAAUUAAUUUAACUUGGGAGUCAGAACAUGGGUGAUAAGGUCCGUGUUCGAAAGGGAAACAGCCCAGACCACCAGCUAAGGUCCCAAAAUAUAUGUUAAGUGGAAAAGGAUGUGGCGUUGCCCAGACAACUAGGAUGUUGGCUUAGAAGCAGCCAUCAUUUAAAGAGUGCGUAAUAGCUCACUAGUCGAGUGACACUGCGCCGAAAAUGUACCGGGGCUAAACAUAUUACCGAAGCUGUGGAUUGUCCUUUGGACAAUGGUAGGAGAGCGUUCUAAGGGCGUUGAAGCAUGAUCGUAAGGACAUGUGGAGCGCUUAGAAGUGAGAAUGCCGGUGUGAGUAGCGAAAGACGGGUGAGAAUCCCGUCCACCGAUUGACUAAGGUUUCCAGAGGAAGGCUCGUCCGCUCUGGGUUAGUCGGGUCCUAAGCUGAGGCCGACAGGCGUAGGCGAUGGAUAACAGGUUGAUAUUCCUGUACCACCUAUAAUCGUUUUAAUCGAUGGGGGGACGCAGUAGGAUAGGCGAAGCGUGCGAUUGGAUUGCACGUCUAAGCAGUAAGGCUGAGUAUUAGGCAAAUCCGGUACUCGUUAAGGCUGAGCUGUGAUGGGGAGAAGACAUUGUGUCUUCGAGUCGUUGAUUUCACACUGCCGAGAAAAGCCUCUAGAUAGAAAAUAGGUGCCCGUACCGCAAACCGACACAGGUAGUCAAGAUGAGAAUUCUAAGGUGAGCGAGCGAACUCUCGUUAAGGAACUCGGCAAAAUGACCCCGUAACUUCGGGAGAAGGGGUGCUCUUUAGGGUUAACGCCCAGAAGAGCCGCAGUGAAUAGGCCCAAGCGACUGUUUAUCAAAAACACAGGUCUCUGCUAAACCGUAAGGUGAUGUAUAGGGGCUGACGCCUGCCCGGUGCUGGAAGGUUAAGAGGAGUGGUUAGCUUCUGCGAAGCUACGAAUCGAAGCCCCAGUAAACGGCGGCCGUAACUAUAACGGUCCUAAGGUAGCGAAAUUCCUUGUCGGGUAAGUUCCGACCCGCACGAAAGGCGUAACGAUUUGGGCACUGUCUCAACGAGAGACUCGGUGAAAUCAUAGUACCUGUGAAGAUGCAGGUUACCCGCGACAGGACGGAAAGACCCCGUGGAGCUUUACUGUAGCCUGAUAUUGAAAUUCGGCACAGCUUGUACAGGAUAGGUAGGAGCCUUUGAAACGUGAGCGCUAGCUUACGUGGAGGCGCUGGUGGGAUACUACCCUAGCUGUGUUGGCUUUCUAACCCGCACCACUUAUCGUGGUGGGAGACAGUGUCAGGCGGGCAGUUUGACUGGGGCGGUCGCCUCCUAAAAGGUAACGGAGGCGCUCAAAGGUUCCCUCAGAAUGGUUGGAAAUCAUUCAUAGAGUGUAAAGGCAUAAGGGAGCUUGACUGCGAGACCUACAAGUCGAGCAGGGUCGAAAGACGGACUUAGUGAUCCGGUGGUUCCGCAUGGAAGGGCCAUCGCUCAACGGAUAAAAGCUACCCCGGGGAUAACAGGCUUAUCUCCCCCAAGAGUUCACAUCGACGGGGAGGUUUGGCACCUCGAUGUCGGCUCAUCGCAUCCUGGGGCUGUAGUCGGUCCCAAGGGUUGGGCUGUUCGCCCAUUAAAGCGGUACGCGAGCUGGGUUCAGAACGUCGUGAGACAGUUCGGUCCCUAUCCGUCGUGGGCGUAGGAAAUUUGAGAGGAGCUGUCCUUAGUACGAGAGGACCGGGAUGGACAUACCUCUGGUGUACCAGUUGUCGUGCCAACGGCAUAGCUGGGUAGCUAUGUGUGGACGGGAUAAGUGCUGAAAGCAUCUAAGCAUGAAGCCCCCCUCAAGAUGAGAUUUCCCAACUUCGGUUAUAAGAUCCCUCAAAGAUGAUGAGGUUAAUAGGUUCGAGGUGGAAGCAUGGUGACAUGUGGAGCUGACGAAUACUAAUCGAUCGAAGACUUAAUCAA
rnacentral:rRNA from 1 species